UUAAAGCGUACUUGACUAGGGUAUGUUUUCCAGCCAUGGUUUCCAUUCAAGUAACUGUGAGUAAGUCGAAACUUGGCUAACAGUCAAUGAUAGCUGGUUGGUGAGUAUCUGGUGUUUUUUAGUUUGUUGUAGGACAUUGACUUGCCAAGGCUCUGUCAAGUUAUCUGCCCUAACUAAUCAAGCAAGUCCAUGUGGAAAUCUCUGUGAAUCUCAACUCCAACGUCAUAGCUGUGGAUCCCAAGAAAAAAUAUUGUAGAGAAAAUAUAUUCACUUUCCCCCUGAGUUGCUUCUGUUAGUACUGCUUUUAUUUCACAUCCCUCACUGACAUCUGAUAGAGGUUAAGGAAAGACUGAGAAAGAAAACCAGGAUGUUCCUCAUCUCUACUUGAUCAUAAUCUGAGCAAGAAAAUGAAGGCGUCAAGAUCUGGAACUAAAAGGGCAAAACGCAGGAAAAACAAGAGAAGGUCGAAGAAAAUGCAAAGAAAAUGCUCUACCGCUCAACCCAGGGUUCUGACUCCUCAGGUGGAAAGACGAUGUCAAGAUCUUUUUCACCGUGUACAUAUGCAAGUGGAGGAACAUCCCCCCCUUCACCUGCAUCUACAAUAUUACUUACCACAAGCAUUGUUCUUUCUACUCCGUUUCCUGUUCUUGGAAUAAGGAGUAAGCAAUCAUUGUGGUUGCUCAUCUGCUGUCAUGGAAU